rnacentral:piRNA from 1 species
UUUUUCGAUUCCUUGAAAUUG